rnacentral:tRNA from 1 species
GGUAGGGUGGCCGAGCGUUUAGGCAGCGGAUUGUAGCUCCGAAUACAGAGGUUUGAGUCCUCUCUGUACC